CUUACAACAGAGGCGGCAGCUGUCUCCGCUUAUUACACCUCCCCGCCCCCUGCCAUGGCCGGCACUGACUCUGCCUCUGACGCUGAGGAUACGCACUGCACACGCCCUGCCAGAUGCCAAAGGAAGCCAUUCUUCUGGAAGAAGACUUUCUCCUGAAAGCCUCCUGGAGGCAAAGUUCUGGCAGAACGAGGCAAUUUCCCUCCCUGCAGGCGGAAGGAAGGCAAUUAGAGCGGGAGCUAGGGCUGAGAGAGGGGAAAUGAUGCAGACACUGCCACCCAGCAAGUGAGAGGAAGGACUGAACAUGGACAGAAGGGCUUGAGACAUUGAGCCUUGGCUGCUUUCACCCAUCCCUUCAAUUGCUGCCCUCUUUUCUAAUGGCCUGAGUCUCCAAAUGGAGCCAAGCUGGGGGCACCCUGGCCAGGAGAUGUGGCCUGCUGUGCCCCUGAGAAGAGCUGUCCCAGGCACACAGAGACAACAUUUGGAAGUGGAAAAUGCCUCUGGAGCAGUCAGAGUGUUGGGAAGUCUCAUCCCAUUCUCCGUUUCAGGAACCUUCCCUCAGCAACAGCAGAGCAGAAGGGAACUCAGUUCAGCAUAACUCGGCAAGUAUUCCCGAGCAGCAUGCUUGGGCUGGGCAGGGGAGACUGUCACAGCCAGAGUGGGCAGUGCUGUGACAGGAGGCUCCCUGUGCAGUUCCACUUUGUCUCUGUGACUUCGCACAGGUUGUUCCCUUGCCUGGAAUGUCCUCCCCCAACCUUUUCUUCCUGGAAAACUUCUAUUCAGCAAAACUCAGGUUAAAUUUCACCUCCUCCAAGAAGGCUUUUUCAACUCUCUAUGCUGUGCUCUCAGAGCCCCCUCCUCAACACACACACACACACACACACACACACACACACACACACACACACACACACACACACACACAGCUUUCCUCUACCAGGACACUAUCUGCUUCUUGACUAGACUGCAAACUCUUUGAAGUGAGUGAUCAUUUAACCAGCAUGAUGUUUGUCACAUAGUAGAUACUUCGUCAAUGUUUAGGAGCCAAGGAGAGAAACCACAGUGAACAGCCACACUGUACUUUCCUCACUGUGAUCAGCACAGUCUUGAACUGUGGCGUAAGGGCUUCCCUGUGAUCCAAGGAGGUGCUUCCUGCUGGUGAAGGAGGAGUUGGGCCCGGGGCUGCAGCCACCUGGGCGAGAAACCACUGGGAACCUGCUCUGUGCCAGGCCCUGCCUGGGCUUUGGGGGUGGGAGUAAGACACAGUCCCUGUCCUGAGGACCUGCAGUCUGGUGGAGUGGACAGGAGCUGGGUUGACAUAGGAUCUGCCAGGCAGAGGGUGCUGAUUGUCAUAGACAGCUUGGAUGUCAGGGGAGCCUGAGGUGGAGAGUGGUGGUGGCUAUUGAGACCAUUCUCCAGAGAGGACGGGGUGCAGGUAGAGUUUCAACAGGUUGAUGGAAGGGGAUUCCAAGUGGAGGGGGGACCAAGGACAAUGACAGAGAGACGGGAGCCUGCAGAGCAGUUGAGUAUCAGUGAAGUAUGGGAGCUCAGCUAUGGCAUCUUGGAGCUAGAGGGAGAGAAAGAUGAGGGGUGAGCCUGGAGCCUACAGCUGCCAGUGCUGGAGGGCCCCUUGCAUCAAAGCCCUUUCCUGUGGAGGAUAACGGGGGCCUUGAGACCAGGAUGCCUGCCAGGAGACUGGGCCAGAUUGGAGGGCUUUGAGUGUACUGAUACAGAUUGCUUAAGCCUGACCCAGUGGGCAGCAGACAUCUUCACACAGGGGGUACAGGCUGGACCAGCAUGAAGGCAGGAUCUGUGGGGCAUCUGCACUACCACGUGAAGUUUAGCAGGCCUCUGCACCCUGCCUGUCUCUGCACCUCUCCUGCCAUUAUGCCUUGAUUCAGGCCUUGCUCCUUUGAGUAAAGACACUGCCUCCUCUUAGGAUGCCCACACUCCCAGAAAGGGUAGCACGUUAGGCCUCAGAUACCCCAGCAUGGGCCAGUGGAAAUGGACUGGAGAGACUCAAGCCAGCACGAGGGUACUUGGAGCCUGGGGAAUGGGGGGUGGGGCCAGGCAGGAGGACACCAAUGCCAGCAUCACCCUAAGGGAAGCCUGGGGUGAUCUCACAGCCUUGCCUGAGAUGUGGGACAGUCUGACAGGCAGCUGGGCCAGCGGCUCCUCCCUCAGCCUACAGAUGGAUAGGAACUGGCCAUAGCUCAGCACUAGCUUCUGUGAGUAAUCAGACUGCAUGACUUUUAUUCUUGGAUAGCCUCUGCUGCCGAAAAGGAAUAUGGUAUGAACUUUAUAUACUGAUGUGGAAUAUUCCCAUGAAAUAUUAAAUAAAAAAAGUGAGUUGGCCAGGCGCGGUGGCUCACGCCUGUAAUCCCAGCACUUUGGGAGGCCGAGGCGGGCAGGUCAUGAGGUCAGGAGUUCGAGACCAGCCUGGCCAACAUGGUGAAACCCCGUCUCUAGUAAAAAUACAAAAAAUUAGCUGGGUGUAGUGGCGGGCGCCUGUAAUCCCAGCUACUUGGGAGGCUGAGGCAGGAGAAUCGCUUAACCUGGGAGGUGGAGGUUGCAGUGAGCUGAGAUUGCACCACUGUACUCCAGCCCUGGCAACAGAGUGAGACUCCGUCUCAAAAAAAAAAAAAAAAAAAAAAAAAAAAAGCGAGUCACAGCACAAUAUAUGUAAUAUUGAACAUUUCUUUAAAAAUGAAAAUCUGUCCAGUUGCUUUGACUCAUGUCUGUAAUCCCAGCACUUUGGGAGGCCGAGGUGGAAGGAUUGCUUGAAGCCAGGAGUUCAAGACCAGUCUGGGCAACAAAGUGAGACCCCCCGUCUCUACAAAAAUUAAUAAUAAAAGAAAGUUAGAUGGGUGCAGUGGCAUGUGCCUAUAGUCUCAGCUACUCAUGAGGCUGAGGUAGGAGGAUUGCUUGAGCCCAGGAGUCCAGAAGGUCAAGGCUGCAGUGAGCUAUGAUCUUGCCACUACACUCCAGCCCUGGCAACAGAGUGAGACCCUGCCUCUAAAACAAAACAAAACAAAAAUCUAGUCUAGAAGUGCUUGUAGGUGUUUGUGAGUACAUAGAAAAGCUCUGGAUGGAGACUUGGCCGUUUUACUAUAGUGGUUACCUCUGGGGAGGUGACUGGCAUUGUCGAGGGGACAUGCAUAUCUUAUUAUGUAUGCUUCUGCACUAUGAAGUUUACAUUAAUUUAAAGUAAUGUUGGUUAACACCCUGAGGACUAAAACAUGCUCAUCACACCCUCCUCGGGACCUCUGCUCUCACUGAUAUCUCAGCACAUCUAGCUGACAGUGCCUGUCCACAUGAGCUGGGCCCCAAGUCCAGCUUCCUCACUUACCCGUUGGGGCACACCUGGGCAGGGCCCCUCCCUGAACUCUGCUUUCCCUGCCUGAAAAUGGGAGCAAUGGUGAUAACAACCUCUCCUCACCAGCUCAUCUUGGACGUAGAGGUCAUGUACAGGCUUUGUGGAUGACCAAAGAUCCAAGUGCUUCUGUGUGGCUGCCAAGGACAGUGCAGGCACAAGAGUCCUUCCCACAAUGAGGACUCAGGCAGAGCAGGUGGCCCCUCAGGAGGAAUCACAGCUGCUGCCCACAGGGGCUGCUCUGUUGCUUCUCCACCAUGGCAGAGGCUAAUGGGGGCCCUGAGGCUUUGGGCUCAACCCGACUAAUCCCUGUGUGGCUGCUUUCUAACUGUGACAUGCUGGGCCCCACCCAUCCUCUCUCCUCUUUGUAAAAAGGAGAAAUGAAUACCUACCUUGAAAGAGGACUCUAAGGGUUAUACAAGAUACUACGUGUGCACAUGCGGAGCACACAGUGGCACGGAUACAUGGUGUGCACACCUCCCUCCCCGCUGAUACCUGGGGGAGAGCCCAUUCCACAUAGUGUCUCCAGCAGCCCAGAGUCCAAGGCGGCCUCCCCAGCAUGCCCACCAGCCAUCCACCAUGGGUUUUGGGGGCUCACCCUAGCAUAUUGUUCUCUCACACUACCCUCUGUCCCACUGCUCUGGUGUAGAAUGGAACUCACAGACCUUCACCCCACUCCUGUGCUCCCGAGGGGCACACCUGUGGCAUAAAUGGGAGGAGUGCCCGGGGUACAGGUGUGGCCAUGGCAGUGCCGGGAACUGUGGAUCUCACUCAGGAAGACAUAUGCAGACAUCACCUGAAGUUCCCAGCAGGACAGGGAGUGGCACAGGCAGCUCCAUGCAGUGUAGACGGCAGCACCUGUACUAGACACCUGGGUCACACCUGACUCUUGCUCUACUCCACCCAACUGUGUUGCCUCCAGAAGGUGCUUGUCAGUAAAGUCAAGUGUCUGUCCCAGCUCUGACCACACGUUGCUAUUGAGAGGAAAUGCAAGGGAUCAGGACAGAACAGAUGCAAUCCAAACUCAUGCAGUGGGUGGAGAUGGGGUAGGGUGGGGCCAGACCCCUUUCUCAGGUUGCCUAACCAAAGGGUGCCUAGGUGGGGCCUGGUUGCAGGAGGGCUCCUCAUCUUCCUGUCUGUAGAGACAAGCUUCAGUUGCCUUUCCUUCUUGGCGGUCUGGACAGCUGAACCCCACUCCCCCUGCUGCCCUCCCCUUCCCCCUUCCCUCCGCCCAUUCCCCCUCACAGCCCAUUUUCUGGCCGAAUUGUUCCUUGGUUUAUCUUUGACCUCCACUGCAAACCAGGCUCACUCUGACAGGGCUUUGAAGUCAAGUGCCUGUGUCUCCCACUCCAGAGUUGGGUCCAGCCCAGCUGGACUCAGGCUGGAUGCAGGGCUGAGGUGGGGCCGGCCCCCCAGCAUGCCGGCUGUGGGGGUAGGGAAGGGCUGGUGCAGGCAGAAUAGAGGCAAUCGUGGUGACCAAGAGGGAGUCAAAUAGGGACAGGGUGUGGACGCCAGGGUCUGGGACUCAGGGCCUCACCCCAGAGCUUGGUGGUGGAGAUUUCUAGGGAACAACCAUAAAAGGCUAACACAGGUGGGUGCUGGGAUCUACUGCCUAAGUGCCAUGUCCUGACCUUUCCCAGUGAUUCUCAAGCUUGAGCAUGCAUCAGAAUCUUCUGCAGGGCCUGUUAAAACACACAAUACUCAGCCUUGCCCAAGAGUUUCUGAUACAGUAAGUAGGUCUGGGGUGGGGUCUAGAAUCUGCAUUUGUAACCAGUUUCCAGGUGCUGCUGCUGCUGCUGAGCUGGGACCACACUCUGGAACCACUGCCUUAAGUACUUUGCCUUCCACUCCCUGCAGAACAGAAAGAGCAGGCUGAAUACACUAAAGGGAGUGAGGGUGUCUCAACAUUCCCUUUAGCAGGAUUAACCAUAGGAAUUGUAACACUGCUUGAGCUUUUAUUGGGUCUCAAUAAGAUAAUAACAGAUUAUCUUAUUGAAUCCUUACAAGGGCCUUGUAAAAUAGGAAUAUCACACCCAUUUUAGUGAAGGAUAAACUGAGACUCACAGAGUCCAAGCACCCCAAGUCACCCACUGGGCAGUAGCAGAAUUAGGAUUUGAACCCGAGCAGCCUGGUCCCAGAGCCCAUGUGCUGGAGCUACAAUACCGAUCCCUCUGGACAGACAGGUAAACGAUGGUUGACCAUGGGAUCAGUUCAGAGCCUGGAGCAAUCCCUGUGCGUGAAAGGCUCAGUGAGGACCUGGGCAUGCUGUGGGCAGGGCUGCCUCUGUCCUGAUGCUCCUAGCGCAGGCCAGGGUUCCUCUCUCUUCCCCACUGCUGGGCCCUGCCAGGCAGAGGGCUGGAUGUGCCCCAAGAGGAGAACAAAACCCUGAGGAACAAGACUGAGCCCCCAUGUUAGUUCAGUCCAAUCUGAUAGCAUCAGAAGCACUAAGAUGUUGGCUUGGCUCCUUCUACUUUUUUUCUUUUAAAGCUGUUUCAGAAUUUCCUUUGCCCAUAUUUUAUUUUUCAUUUGAAAGAACUCCUCCCUGCUCCUGCAAUCCACCUGGCUAUAUAAUUCCUGGACUGAACAUAUUCUUACUUAUGUGAGUAUAUGUGUGUGAACCUGAGGGUGCACUGGGGCCUGUGGACACAUGGGGGUGCCUGUGUGUCUUUGCAGGCAUCUGUGGUGUGCAGAGUGCCCACAUGUGCCUGGGUGCAUGCAGGCUCGGGUAUACACACUUGGGGGUCUGAGUAGAUGCUGCCUUGCUCCUGGAUGGGCACUGACCCCUGACUGUGAACAGAUGUGCUUCACAAGACCAGGCAGGGAUUGCAGCUGUGUGGCUGCCAGAAGGCGGCCAGUUGUGGGGCUCAGAAAGGAGCCUGGAGCACCUUGACCCAGCAGAGGAGCACCUUACCCUCGGUGCUGCUGCCGGCCGGCUGGCCAGGACGGCUGCCUCUCCCAGUCUGUAAUGCUGUGCUGUGGGGUGUGGGGGAGAUAAGGUUGCCAAGCUGUUUAUCAAGCCCUUUGAAACGAUCUGGGGCUGCUGGCCAGGCCAGCAGAGGAAGCAGCACUUUAUGGGCCUGACUCUGUGGUGACCUCACCACUCGGUCCUCUCUGCUCUUCUCCUGUGCCUCUCUGUCUUCCACUGUCCCAUCCCCACGAUGGAGCUGACUAAAAAAGGAGGUGCCCUACUCCUCAUUCACUCACCUUAUGGGGGAAGGAAUAGCCCCUGGAGGGAGAGGGGGAGGAAGAGAGUAGUGGGAGCGCCUCUGCGUCCCUAGGCAGGUGUGGGCUGGAGUAGGAGGGAGGGAAGCAACGAUGGUCUGUCAAGGUCCUGGCUUUGCUCCGCUCUGUGGUGACAGGGCAGGCCUGGUUUCCCUCCCAGCCCAAGAAGGACCCCAAAGUGAAGACAGAAAUGACAGAAAGCAAGAGGACAUGGUUAGGACAUUCCCUAUGUCGGCCCAUCCAUUUAUGCCCAGGGCCUAGCACAGCCUUUGGCACAUGGCAGGCACUAAAGACUAUUUGAUAAAUAUUGCUGAAUGAAGAAGGAAAGAGCUGGAAGCUUGUUGGAGAAUAAGGAGAUGAAGAAGAUGAAGGCAGAGAAAUGGCCAGAGGGAGAAGCCAGGAGCCCAGCAUUUGCAGGCCCUGAGAUGCUACCCAGGGAAGCCAGUGAUGGGGAGGCAGAGAGGGAGAGAAGGGAGAAAAGAUAAAACAACAGUGGGCAGUGAGCAAGAAAAUGGAAGAGGGAAAUUUGCCCUCAGGUCUGGAGGCCUGGAUUCUUUGGUGGGGGUGGGCUGUGUCCUCAAAGGAGAAAACCAGGUUCCUCCCAUGUAGCUUCAGAGAAGUGUAUCAAAUCCGGUGGGGUUAGGGUGUGGGAUUGGGACAGUGGCAGGCAUCUGGAUAUGAAGGCCAGGCCUGCUCUGAGAAGAGAAGGUCUGUGCAGAGCAGGGUGCCUCAUCAUUAUGUCACCCCAUCAUUGUCACCACAUGUCUGCCAUGGGGGUCCUGCCCGUCCAUUCCUGCAGCGAGAGAAACAAGUUGAGGCUUUCAAAGGGGUUAGGGGGAUAAGGGGAGGACACAGAGAUGGGAAGGGACCCAGAUGUGCCUGAUGUCAGAGCCCAGGGGUUAGAAAGGGCAGGAAGGCUUCUUGGAAGAGGUGGAAUUUGACCAGCUGAGAUUUUAGUGACAGUAAAUUGCAUUAUCUGGAAGCACCAGUUGGAGAAAAUGAAGCCCCCUGUCUUUUCUUAGUCAUGAGAGACAUCCUGUCUUGGGCUGCUACGGCUGCCAGCCUGCAUUAAGCUGCCUUUGGGCCCCCUGUGUGGAGCAGGAAAAAUUAGAGCCAAUCAAUGCGAUUUCAAGGCAGCAGCUCCUUCCCAGCAGCCCGUGGCCAUGCCUGUUAACCAGCCCGCAGCCCCAAUGGCCUGAUACCACAAGCAAAUGGCCCCUAAUGGGGACCAGACCUCCUUUUGCCCUCCCACCUCCCUGCCUGUGUGUCUUUAUGCCUGCGUGCUGAGCUGAGAUCGUUGCUCCUGGGGCCCCUGUCCUGCCUAAGGGCCCAGGACCUACUGGGCUAGGCUAGGGGGUGGGGUGGGGGCAAAGUGGGGAAAAGAGCCCUGCAAAUGGCCCCUAUCCAGCAGGGAGCUGGACAGCUCCAGCCUGUAGGGUGGGCAUGGCAGGGCUCAGCUUGGCCCCAGGCAGCUGCAACCAGGUCAUCUGACCACUUUAACCCUACAUCUCACUCUGCCCAUUGGAAGAUCUGGGUAUUCUCUACCCACCCUUUGCCAAAGACAGCCUAGGGAGGCUGGAUGCUGGGCCUGCUAGAAUCUUCAGUGUGUGUUGCUCCUGACCAGGCCUUCCUCCUAAACUCCAUUUUCCUGGCCUUGACUUGGGCCCUCAUUGGCUGUCACCUGGGAUUCUGCUUUUAAGCCCUCUGCCUCCUGCCCCCCUCCACCCUGCCGCUGCCAGGAGGCUUUCUAAAAUACAUCUGAUGGGGUUACUUCCCUGCUUCACCAUCCCCGGUGGCUCCCGGCUGCCUUCAGGGUGAAGGGUAAAGUCCUGAGCUGAAAGGGUCACUCCUGGGCCCUGUCCUGCCCACUUCUAGGCCUCUUCUCUUGAAUGAGCCAGGAUGAGGAUGAGGUGAAUGAGGAGCCCACCCACCUUGGGUGCAGAAUUUAAGGGGGCACCAAAAAACUCAGCAAUCAAAAUAAAUAAUGUUUUAGUGCAAUCUUUUAAAAACCAAAAUUAAUGAAAAAAAAUCCAUGAUGAACAGAAUAUGAGUAUUGACGAAGAUGUGGACUGACAAGACGGGAUCAGAGAGAGGGAAGUAAGGUGAAUUGUGUAGGUGUGGGGCAGAUCCUGUCUUUAUUUAGCCCUGCCAGCCUCACCCUUGUGCUGGGUCUGCAUCCAGAUAUGCCCAGUCAUUCUCUACCUUUCAGAGGGACCCCAGGAAGUGCUUAGAAUCCCCCCAUCACCCAGGCCUUUGUAUGUGUCAUCCCCUCUGCCUGGAAUUCUCUCCUGUCUUCCUUCUUCUGUUCUUCAUUCCUCUAAAACUUGGGUCUGGAAGCCCCUCCCUCACUCCCUAAGCCAGGUUAGGAGCCCUUCUCUGUCUCUUCCCUGACUUCCCCCCUCCAACCCUAGCACAGCCCCACAGCACUGAGAUCCAGGGCUGUGACCACUAGCCUCUGAAGCCAUGUGGUAAAAUCCUGCAGAGCAGAAUGGUGAGGCAUUCAUUUCUGCAUCCGUAAAGCCCAUCAUGGAGCCUGACACAGAUUUUCUUCAAUUACCUUUGAUUGACCGAAUGGAUAAAUGAAUGGACAAAUAAAAGAAUAACAUGGCUGUGAGUCACAGGCCAUUUCAAUGAAUACUUCAAGGAUCAAAAUUAAAUAAAACCCUCACGGUUCCUCAGAUCCAGAUGGAUCCACAGGCUACCAGCAUCAUAGAAUAAAUGCUGCAACAUUUUGGUCCAACAAAAAAGAUUCUAGCAGUCUCUAAAAAUCUUGCCAUAGGAUUUGGUCUAUACUUUUAAAAACCACUCUUUUUUCAUGAUAAAGCCCUUCAACUUGCUCUAAAAGGCAACAUAGGAAGAGAGAGACGAUGCAGGCCAGUCCUCUCCAAAUAAGGCAAAACCCAGCUUUAUUUUUAGUAAUGACUUUCCCAACUGCAAGAGGGCACAAGUCCAUGAUCCAGCAUUACAGAAACCCACCAACUUCCAGAAAAGUUUCAACAACUCAUAAAGACUCACAUGUGCAUGCAGACACAAAGACCCAUUUUAGGGAAGAGGCCCCAAGACAUAGUCUGAAGCCCCAGCUGGGGCCCUUUCUCCAUGACAACUCUUCAGCCAGCCUGGACAGUGCAACCCUUGAGUAACCCCAGCUUUGCUUAACUGGGACAACCCACCUCUCCUCAUCCUCCUGGAGAAAUGCAGUUUUGUAUUUUCCUGAUGUUUGAUGGGCCCGACAUCAGAGGAUCCUCGAAAGUCAUAUUCCCUGGGAAAUCUGACCAAACCGUAAGAACGAAAAGACUAUUGGCUAACUUUGUGGAGACCACUGAGAGCUCAGUCCUCAGCAGAGGAGCUGGAGGGAAAGAGACAUUGGAAUACUUCACUGUGAUUGUCCACGCCGUCAUUCUCUUCAUCUGUAUAAACUGUGGCUGGUUCACUUUAACCCUGAGCAGGAGCUGCCUAUGAAAGAGGAUGGCUGGAGUCAGAUGCCUGGGCACUCUUCUGGUCAAGUCGGGAGCUCUCAGUGCCUGCUGACUCAUCUGUAAAAUGGGGAUAACGUCAGGAUGAGCUAAUAACGCGGAAGCCAGAAAGGCUGAUGCCAUCUCUGUUUCCAAUAUGAUUUUUAUGGCCUCCAAGAUGGUGUCCUUAGAAUCUUUCUCUGCAGCAGGCUCGUUUUUCUCCUCAAAUUCCUCUGUGUUUGGCUAAGAACAAUCUGUUUUUCCUACACUUGUCAAGUUGCUCGAAAUUCCUAAUGCCCAUUCAUGUUCUUUCCAAGGAUUAGCAGAGCACUCCUCGCUUGUCUUUCAUCACACUCCCUCCGCACAUGGGGUAAAAAUUACAUUUGAGUGGAACCCUGGCUAUCGAUGCCUGUAAAAUGGAGACUUUGGCGAGACUCACUUGCCUGGGUCAGAGUGGGAAACAGGCUGAAAAACAGGCCUGAGCAUCUUUAAUGAUGUGCAGAAAGAGAGGGGCCUCUGCCCCCACGGGCAGAUGUACACAGCUGCUAACAGAGAAGCCCCUCAUCCUGUACGACCAGUGCAGAGAAACGAUCCCCUCGAAUGCUUCCUAGUGGAGUUAAGAAAUUUUUUGUUGAUCGUGCCUUUGAACUAAGGUCAUUUAAGUAUACAACAGAUGUUCCUCUGAGGGAAACAGACUUAUAAAGUCAGGAACACAGAAGGGACCUAAUGGUUUACUAGGGGUGGCGCAUUAAGUUCAUAGCAAUUUAACUCCUUUCAAUGCUAAACAAAACAAUGACGCAAUUUGAUGCGCAAUAAAAACUUGUCAAAACAA